GACGAACGCUGGCGGCGUGCUUAACACAUGCAAGUCGAACGGAAAGGCCCUGCUUUUGUGGGGUGCUCGAGUUGCGAACUGGUGAGUAACACGUGAGUAACCUGCCCUUGACUUUGGGAUAACUUCAUGAAACUGGGGCUAAUACCGGAUAGGAGCUCCUGCUUCAUGGUGGGGGUUGGAUAGUUUCGGCGGUUGGUGAUGGACUCGCGGCUUAUCAGCUUGUUGGUGGGGUAGUGGCUUACCAAGGCUUUGACGGGUAGCCGGGCUGAGCGGGUGACAGGCCACAUUGGGACUGAGAUACGGCCCAGACUCCUACGGGAGGCAGCAGUGGGGAAUAUUGCACAAUGGGCGGAAGCCUGAUGCAGCAACGCCGCGUGCGGGAUGACGGCCUUCGGGUUGUAAACCGCUUUCGCCUGUGACGAAGCGUGAGUGACGGUAAUGGGUAAAGAAGCACCGGCUAACUACGUG
rnacentral:rRNA from 1 species